GGCGUGGUAGCUCAGUUGGUUAGAGCGUCGGAUUCAUAACCCGGAGGUCUCCAGUUCAAUUCUGGAUCACGCUA
rnacentral:tRNA from 7 species